GCAUAAUCUCAAAGCUAUUAGUUUGAAAACUUUGCAACACAUCAAUAAAGUAAAAUGCACUAAGCGUUGCAGCGGAGUAACUUAAGUGGAUUACAUGUAUGAAGACAUGAAAUCCUGAACCUAAUUUAGUACUUAUGUUUCAAAGCUUCGCUCUGCUGACAUCCAUCUGCAUCACAGCUUAACCUGCACAUUUAGAAAACAUAUGCAGGGCUGAGUACUAAAAAGGUACUCAAUGGUCACAUGCCAAAAUAACUUUAAAGCUUGCUCUUAGAGCUAUAUAUUGAACUUGUCAUCUCAAGCAUCACACAGGAGUUUUAUUUAAAUAACCCGUGCACGCCAAAACUGUAAAACUUCCCUGUAAUUAUCAUAAACUUCACAUGCGUCUGCAGACAUACUUCUUUGUACUCUACCAUAUCUGCAAUGAUAACUGUGUGCCGAGAAGGUGGCCACCUUCUACGGUCACUGACCGGCCGAUACGUUAAACCGCCUCACGGUCCUAGACCGGCCGAUAUGCUAAACCAGCUCACGGACCUAGACCGGCCGAUACGCUAAAUCGGCUCACGGUCUUAGGCCGGCCGAUAUGCUAGAUCGGCUCACGGUCCCUUGUGUACACUAAUCCUGUCUAACAUCUGGAUAGAACAGGAUCCGAAUUCGAUUAACUUCUGGUGCCAGAUAGGUAUCAUACAAGCUCAUAAAAUAAUUUGGCAAGUCAAUAACUUUAAUAUAACUUCAUUCAUGUAAACAUCAUGAAAUAAUGUGCACUUCAGGUUUUGAGUUUAGAAAGCCCACCUGAUCGUGGUCUGACGAUACAGGUGAUUCUGAACUAUCGUUUCACCGUCUCUCUUGUGUAUGACCUUCAGUAUAAAUACUGACUAAUAAAUAAUGAGGAAAAUGACCAUGGACUAAUUUAUAAAGAAUGCUUAUGUUGGUUUUAAGGUGAUGGUUCUACUGAAAAUCUUGGCAUGAAGACAAGUUGCUAUUUUGGAAACUUAUCAACAAAUCUCCAUAUAGACUUAAACUGCGAUGAUCAUAACCCUGGCAUUAAUCAUAACUUUACUCACACUAAUGGAAUAAAUAAUUAUUUACUUAGGGACAAUAUAAAUCCCUUCUUUUCCUCUUCUUUAAAGAAUCUAAUUUCGAAAUAAUCUAAUGUCUAAUUUAUGCAUACUUACACUUGAUAAUAGCAUAAAUUAAUUAUAAAUGAACCAAAAUAAUUCAAUAUGUCUAGGCCAUUUAAUAAAUCAAGCCCAUUAUUAGCUAAUAGCUAAUAAUCCUAUUAUACAUAUUUAUAAAUUUAAGCUAAAAUAAUUCUAUAUGUUUAGACAAUAUAAUUCAAACUAAUUAUGAAUGAAUAGCUAAUAUUAUUUACAUAAAUUAUUGGGCUUAAAUAAUGAUAAAUCAAGGGUUCAAUUAAUAAAUUAACUGGCCCAACAAGUCUACUUGCCCAAGCAAUUAUUCUGAGCCCAAUUAAUCAUAAAAUAAUGAGCCCAUCAGAUCUUAAUUAGCCCAUGCAUUCAUCCAAGUCCAAUUAUAAUUACUAUUUUUCUUAUUAAAUAAAUUAAUACCAAAAUGAAAUAAUAAUAUGGAAUCUUCUAAUUGGAAACGAAAUAGUUCUUCUCCCUCUUUUCUCUUUUUUCUUUUUGUCACCUGCGUCUCUCUCUCUCGUCCGGCGAGCGUGGCCGAUCCUCGCCGCCUCCGGCGUGGCGAGGUCGGCACCCCUUCCUCCCCUCCUUCCCCUCUCUUUUUCUAUUUCUUCCCUUCAAUCUAAAAUCCCCAAAUUAUAAAAUCAAAAACCUAGGGUGUCUACCUCUCUUCAUCCCCUCUAGACUUCGUCUCUCCGGCGAAGCCUACCGUCCCGCCGUCGUCUCUGUCACGCCGGCGCCUCCUCUGUUUCAGGUAAGUCCCUGUCUCUCUCUCUACUUCUGUCUCUGCUCUCUCCCUCGAACUCCCUCUUUCUCUGCCCUCUCUCGCUCUCUCGCUCUGUCCAGGGCGCGGCGGCCGCCGCAAGCCACGACGGCGCUUCCAGCGCCGGUGCUCGCUGCCGCCUGCUCCGCUCCUCUCUCCUUCUAGCUCGUUCUGCCUUUCUCCCUUCUUCCUGCUGUCUGUUUCUAUCUCACACUCUAUCUCACUAUCUCUCACUCAAUCUCUCUGUUGGUAGCCACUGCGGACCGCCGUGGCGCAGGCAACGCCGGCAGUCGCGCCUUUGCCGCGGUGGCUCGCGUCUGCUGCUGCCGCUUGCCUCUUCUUCCUCCUCUGUUUCUGUUUCUCUUACCUUCUUUCUUUUCUAGUUUAAUAGCUUGUUUGGCAAAUCCCUAACUAUUUCCUUAUCUCAGGAAUCGAUGAUUCAACUCCGGCGAGGCAGCCCGCCUCCUGAUCAAUGCUCAAGAUUCUAUUUUUUUCUACCUUUCUUAUUGUAAAUUUAUGUUCUUUCAUUGAUUGAUUAUUGAAAAACUGAAGCUGUAAUGGUUGGGGAAAUCGUACUGUGCUUAUAGAAAUUAGAGUUAGAGAUAUCUGUUUGUCUUAACUGGUGUAGCUAUGUCUGUUUUCACUGCUUUUCUUUACAUAAAGAAUCUACUGUAUUGAAAGAAAGACUACCUUCUUUGAUGUCUCCACAACUACCUUCUUUGAUGUCUGCUGUGGAGGAUGUGUGUUUGAAUGGAUGAUUGCUGCGUGUUUAAGAUUGCAG
rnacentral:lncRNA from 1 species